UGUUUUAGAUCCCCCAGCCAUCAGUUCUUGUCCCUCCAAGCUGCCAAGCUCUUCUGUGAAGUACAGUCAUGGAACUUCAGAGAAGCCUUCCAUGGUUAGGUCAUUCGAUGCUGUCACCCCUUCCACAUAAAUAGCACAUCUGCUCAAGACAUAGAGUUUAUUUUGAAGGACACAGGUAAUUCAAAAGCUAUUUAUGUUUGAAUAGUACUUACCUAAUUUAAA
rnacentral:lncRNA from 1 species